rnacentral:rRNA from 1 species
UACGAAGGGGCGAGCGUUGUUCGGAAUUACUGGGCGUAAAGGGCACGUAGGCGGCCGAUCAAGUCAGAUGUGAAAGUCCUGGGCUUAACCUGGGGACUGCAUUUGAUACUGAUUGGCUUGAAUGCAGGAGAGGAUAGCGGAAUUCCCAGUGUAGAGGUGAAAUUCGAUAGAUAUUGGGAAGAACACCGGUGGCGAAGGCGGCUAUCUGGACUGUGGAUUGACGCUGGAGGCGACGAAAGCGUGGGGAGCAAACAGG